CAAAAUUCAAUACAGUAAUUAUUAAUAUAUUAUUAUUGUAUAGGUUUGUGAUAGAAAUUUGGAGAACAAGACAGUAGAUACACAGUUGUGAAGAAAGAGCCCUGGGACUGACAAGACAUAAUAUUCACCUCAGGAACUUUAACUUCUCAGAGGAGAAGCAGAAGCCAGGCACAUACAGAGUCCAAUCUCAUGAAAUCUAUCCACAGAAGUGACCAAGCCUCCUUUCAGUGAACCUUCUAAACAGCCAUUGUAACAUGUGAGUUUGUCGUGUGCUCCUUGAAGAUGAAGCCAUUCAGAUCCUCAGGUUUAGGCAGAGCAUUGCAGACACUUGAUGCCAGAGAACGUAUGCUACUCAGUGGAGAACAUGGUCCUUGGAGAU